GUAGAAAUAUAGACUUCCCGCAAGGGACCGCUAUGGAGGUGCUGCAUGGCUGUCGUCAGCUCGUGUCGUGAGAUGUUGGGUUAAGUCCCGCAACGAGCGCAACCUUCGUCCUGUGUUGCUACCCGUAAGGUGCACUCGCAGGAGACUGCCGGCGAUAAGCUGGAGGAAGGUGGGGAUGACGUCAAGUCAUCAUGGCCUUUAUGUCCAGGGCUACACACGUGCUACAAUGGGCGGUACAAUGCGUUCCUAAACCGCGAGGUGGAGGCAAUCGCAAAAAACCGUUCUCAGUUCGGAUCGCAGGCUGCAACUCGCCUGCGUGAAGCUGGAAUCGCUAGUAAUGGCGCAUCAGCAUGGCGCCGUGAAUACGUUCCCGGGCCUUGUACACACCGCCCGUCACAUCACGAAAGUGGAUUGUACUAGAAGUCUGUAGGCUAACCCGCAAGGGAGGCAGCGGCCCAAGGUAUGAUUCAUGAUUGGGGGAAGUCGUA
rnacentral:rRNA from 1 species